GUUACCCUGGUCGCUCGCAGGCGCACGGGCGAUCUAACCCCGCGCCGUCCCUUCCGCUGAUGGGGGUCUCGGAAGCGCCGCAGGAGAGCUUUGCGGAGCAGGGAGGGGGCGCGGGCGCUCGGGGCCGUCCUCGGAGCGCAAAGUGCCGCAGCCCUCUCGGCUUUCCACCCCGAGGCUGCCACGACGGUGCCAGCGCGCGGCUGCUCCCCUCUGUGCUCCCAGGUGAUGGAAAACCCCAGCCCGGCCGCCGCCCUGGGCAAGGCCCUCUGCGCUCUCCUCCUGGCCACUCUCGGCGCCGCCGGGCAGCCUCGUGAGGGAGAGUCCGUCUGUUCCGCCAGAGCCCCGGCCAAAUACAGCGUCACCUUCACGGGCAAGUGGAGCCAGACGGCCUUCCCCAAGCAGUACCCCCUGUUCCGCCCCCCCGCGCAGUGGUCUUCGCUGCUGGGGGCCGCGCAUAGCUCGGACUACAGCAUGUGGAGGAAGAACCAGUACGUCAGCAACGGGCUGCGCGACUUUGCGGAGCGCGGCGAGGCCUGGGCACUGAUGAAG
rnacentral:sRNA from 1 species